rnacentral:rRNA from 1 species
UGGCGGCGUUGCUUAACACAUGCAAGUCGAACGGAGUUUUUAACGGAAGUUUUCGGAUGGAAGUUUAGAAACUUAGUGGCGGACGGGUGAGUAACGCGUGGGUAACCUGCCUCAUACAGGGGGAUAACAGUUAGAAAUGACUGCUAACACCGCAUAAUAUAGCGAAACCGCAUGAUUUUUGCUAUCAAAUAUUUAUAGGUAUGAGAUGGGCCCGCGUCUGAUUAGCUAGUUGGUGGGGUAAAAGCCUACCAAGGCGACGAUCAGUAGCCGGCUUGAGAGAGUGACCGGCCACAUUGGGACUGAGACACGGCCCAAACUCCUACGGGAGGCAGCAGUGGGGAAUAUUGGACAAUGGGGGAAACCCUGAUCCAGCGAACCGCCGCGUGAGUGAAGAAGUAUUUCGGUAUGUAAAGCUCUAUCAGCAGGGAAGAUAAUGACAGUACCUGACUAAGAAGCCCCGGCUAACUACGUGCCAGCCGCAGC